GACGAACGCUGGCGGCGUGCUUAACACAUGCAAGUCGAACGGAAAGGCCCUGCUUUUGUGGGGUGUUCGAGUGGCGAACGGGUGAGUAACACGUGAGUAACCUGCCCUUGACUUUGGGAUAACUUCAGGAAACUGGGGCUAAUACCGGAUAGGAGCUCCUGCUGCAUGGUGGGUGUUGGAAAGUUUCGGCGGUUGGGGAUGGACUCGCGGCUUAUCAGCUUGUUGGUGGGGUAGUGGCUUACCAAGGCUUUGACGGGUAGCCGGCCUGAGAGGGUGACCGGCCACAUUGGGACUGAGAUACGGCCCAGACUCCUACGGGAGGCAGCAGUGGGGAAUAUUGCACAAUGGGCGGAAGCCUGAUGCAGCAACGCCGCGUGCGGGAUGACGGCCUUCGGGUUGUAAACCGCUUUCGCCUGUGACGAAGCGUGAGUGACGGUAAUGGGUAAAGAAGCACCGGCUAACUACGUG
rnacentral:rRNA from 1 species